rnacentral:lncRNA from 1 species
GGAACAGCAACUUUAGAGUGAAGGCGGAGCCAAAACCAGCUCUCCCGCCCCUUCCUGUGGUAGAAUCUGGAUCCCACCAAACUUCCUGAAAACCCUGCAGAAUUGCACACAGCGCUGCUGUGCCGUGAUGACGAGCCUGGCGCGUCCAGUCAGCCCGGGUCUAGAGGAUCACAAGAGAGGCCUGGAAAAUUCCCGCUCGGGAGCUCUUCUGAGAGUUCAGAAAGAUACUAAGAGGCCCCGCCGUGUUCCGAGUCCAGAGGAUGUUUUCUUAGAUGGGGGUUUCUCAUCUUGCCCAGGUGGUUCGUUAUUCCACAUGGGCGACUCUCUGAAUCCAUCUGAAUAUCAAGUUCCCGUGUUCCUUAGUGGGCGAGGCCCUGUUUACAUCUGAUCGUCAUGGGCAGAGCCUGGGUUUAGUGAUGUGGAUCGGUGUUUCUACCCUGGCUGUGUAGCUUUUCCUGGUAAACCUCCCGUCCUCACGGCAUGAGGCCCAAGCAGAAGGGUGGAGCCCCGUGCUCAGCAGGGCCCUGUCCUUGGCUUCGUGUCCUGCUUUCACCAUCCUGGGUUUCUCAGCAAUUUCUGACUUUGGCCCACGUUUUUGUUCUGCACUUAACACAUGUUAUGUAACUGGUCCUGGCUGCCACAGUAGCACUGAGGUGGAGCCUGAGAUGGUACAUUUCUGACGAGAUCCCAGGUGACGCUCAGGGUUCUUGCCCUUGGAUCAGCUUUGAGCAGCAAGGCUCAGUCCGCAGCCCAGCAGAGCAGCCACGUGGAAGGAAUCUGAAGACAGCACGCCCCAGGCCCCUGGCAGCUGGAUUAGUGGCCACUAACUGUAAGAUGCUGGAUCAAGCUCCUCCUGGACCACGCUUGGCUGCGAUGGGCUCCCCAGCGCUGUCCGGAAGAGCAGGAGGGCGUAGGUGGGGACUCGGACCUCUGAAUGGGGUGGAUGACACACCGAGCAGAGUCCAGGCUGUGACCAGGCUGGCUCCAUGCGCCUCACUGCUGAGCUCCCGCCCCCAGGUGGGGCUGGGUCUUGCCUGGUCCUUCUCUCCCCACAACAGUCGCAUCAGCAGUGGCGGCUUUUCUCCCUGGCCACUAACUGUGAGUCCUCUCUGAGGACUUGGGGGUCUUAUUAUUAUCUAUCAAUACUUAACACUUGAGGAAGUGGUGUAGGUCAAGGCAGGAGCCUCAAGCCGAAUGCCUGGGACGGAUCCUGGCCUUGCCACUCACUAGCUCUGUGACCUUGAGCAAGUGACUCGGCCUCUCUGUGCCCAGUGUCCUGAUGGGCAAAGUGAUCUGCAUCCUAGAGUCAUGUGACGCACUAGGAAUAGUCCGAGUUCAACAAGUGUCAUCCGUUGUGACUGUUAUUAUUAUUCAAAUAUUCUUCUGGCCAAUCUCGGGAAUCCCUAGUUUUUAUUUUUUAACCAAAACAUAAUCAAUGUCUCACACUAAACAUAGCAAGAGCUCUUUUUCUUCUUUCACAGGAGAUAAUAUUCUUUAGAAAAUUCCCUAUGCACGAGAUAAACAGCAGGGUCUUUAGUUGUCUCAACGAGAUAACAGUAAACAGAACUUCUAAACACUCGCCUAUAUAACAUGGAUAUUGUCUUAAGUGACUGCAUAGUACUCUAUUUUAAGGCUGUGGCAAACAUUAUUUUUAUUUUUUUCUUUAUAGAUAAGUUUUUUAUUAUAUAUUGGGUUUUGUUCCAGUGGGCCACAACUAUUGCAACCCAUGUCCAUACAUUACUUAAAGUUUCCAUAGCUCAGUGCUAUUACUUUUUUUCAUUUUUUAAUUUUUAUUGAGGUUAUGAUAGUUUAGAAAAUUGUGACAUUUCAGUUGUACAUGAUUAUUUGUCAGUCACCAUAUAGGGGCGCCCCUUCACCCUUUGUGCCCACCUCCCAACUCCCUUCUCCUGGUAACAACUAAAUUGUUCUCUUUGUCCACGUGGCCCACAUUUUUAAUGAAUGUCCUCUCCUUUUUUCCCCCGGACCAUAGUCUAUUAUUUACAAAAUUUUUCUCAUACAGUUUUUAAACUGAGAUAUAAUUUACCCUUAUGUUUUUUUAAGGAAGAUCAACCCUGAGCUAACAUCUGCUGCCAAUCCUCCUUUUUUUUGCUGAGGAAGAUUGGCCCUGAGCUAACAUCUGUGUCCAUCUUCCUCUACUUUAUAUGUGGGACGCCUGCCACAGCAUGGCUUGAUGAGCAGUGCGUAGGUCCACACCUGGGAUCUGAACUGGCAAACUCAGGGCUGCCAAAGUGGAGUACGUAAACUUAACCACUAUGCCACCAGGCCAGCCCCAAAUUCACCUUUUUAAAGUGUACAAUUCAGUAGUGUCUUGGUAUAUUCACAAGGUUGUGCACUCUUCAGCUCUGUGUAAUUCCAGAACAUUUUCAUCAUCCCCAAAAGAAACCUCACACCCUUUAGCAGUCUCUCCCAUUCCGCCUCCCCCAGCCCCUGACAACCACUAAUCUUCUUUCUGUCUCUUUGGAUUUGCCAAUUGUGGACGUUUCAUAUAAAUAAAACGUACAAUAUGUGGG